rnacentral:rRNA from 1 species
CGAAAGCCUGACGGAGCAAGACCGCGUGAGGGAGGAAGGCUCUUGGGUUGUAAACCUCUUUUCUCAGGGAAGAAGAUCUGACGGUACCUGAGGAAUCAGCAUCGGCUAACUCCGUGCCAGCAGCCGCGGUAAGACGGAGGAUGCAAGCGUUAUCCGGAAUUAUUGGGCGUAAAGCGUCCGCAGGCGGCUCAGCAAGUCUGCUGUCAAAGAGCGGGGCUCAACUCCGUAAAGGCAGUGGAAACUGCUGGGCUAGAGUAUGGUAGGGGCAGAGGGAAUUCCCGGUGUAGCGGUGAAAUGCGUAGAGAUCAGGAAGAACACCGGUGGCGAAGGCGCUCUGCUAGGCCGCAACUGACACUGAGGGACGAAAGCUAGGGGAGCG